GUUGCAGGAACAUGAAACAAAAAUUCUCUUACUGAGUCACUAGGAGGGUGAUAGUGAGUGGAACUCUUCCCUUUUCCACACUUAAUUCCUAAACCUCUGAGUCCCUGAUAUGAGAGAAACUGUACUAUAUAUUGGAUGCUUAUUCAAAGCAUAUCCUGACUACCUUUUAAAGAGCCCUGCCACGACCCUCCAGGCUGAUGCCACCUAAAUGACACUGUAACUGUAUCUUCAAAAAACCAUUCCAUCUUGAUCUCAGGAUGUUCGAGUACCUGUUGAAGCCCUGCUGGUCGGGGCAACUGGCACCCAAUGUGGAUGAAACCACCUCUUGAGGAUUCUGAACGUUGUCUCCUGGAGGAAAGACCAAGGCCUUGGUGAAGUUGUUGGAUCCCCCUGAAAUUGCCCGGUUCAGGACGCGAUCCCGGAGGAGAGCAGAGGCGACACAGGACUGGGAGGUCAACAGCAUAGACAAGUGACAAGAGACAGAAGAAAAACCUGUGAAGUAGGAUGUACCUUACUUAUUAUUUCCUUCCACCUGGAAGCAGAAGAUCCCAAUGCAGGAAGGUUAUUUUCAGAAAUGUUUAACUGAGUAAAGAAGACCUACCUCUCUACUGAGGGGGUUAUCAUCACAUGAGGUUGGGUCCCUGACUGAAGAAGAAGGAAACUAACUUGGCUAUCAGUUGGAAUGCAGUAUGCUGGCUGUUGCUGUGACUCUGGAAAUCAGUCCAGAUCAUCUACUAACGCUCUGAAGUAACAAGACUGCAUGCCUCAUAGUCCAGCCAAUUCCAGUGCCCUAUCUUGGGUGAAUAGGUGUUUGUUCCUGUCUCUCCAGGAAAAGUCAUGAAACACUCUCCCUCCAUCCUCACCAGCACAGUUUGCUCCCGUCAGACCCAAACAGACUAAAUGAACAAAUGAAGAAGAUGCAGCCUCAUAGCUCUCAUUGGAAGCUAAAGAGACAGACUCAGCCACCAUGGCCAUCCUUGGAUGCUGUGAUUGAUGGGGAUGAGUGACCAGAAACUGAAGAAUAACACCAUGCUUAACUUCAGAAACACUUAACAUGGCUCCAUGGGAUGUGCCAUGCAGGUUACUUGUCAAGAAAGCUAUGCUUCCUAGCCCCAAGAAACUGGUCUCAUUAAUGACAUGUUAAAGAUCCAAUUAUAUGACAUCCUGGGAAUAUCAAAACUAUGAAGCAUUAAAACAGCAUUGGCUGCCAGGCCUCAAGCUGGGAAGUUGGUGGAACACAGAGAACAUGGAAAGUUUGGGGUAAUAAGUGCUUCUUCUUUGACUGGCCUGAGAAGCAGGCUCAGAGAACCCUCAAAGAAGAGGAGACAGAAAUAGUGAAAGAGCCAUCCAUAGAGGAUGGAGGACACCAAGAAACAAGGCCCUCUAAAUCAGCAUGAUCAAACCUCAUAUGAAUUCACAGAGACGAAGGCAGCAUGCACAGGGUCUGAACCAGUCUGGACAAGGUCGUAUGCAUUUAUAUAUUUUUUAUUUUUAGUGAUUUUAUGUUAUUUCUAGUGUGCAAAUAAGCAUACUCUGGAUCUUGACCAUUCCCUUGGGUUCUUCCACUUUUUGUCUUGUCCAGCUCUGAUGUGAUAGUUUUUAUUUUAUCAUAUUUUUUAUUACAUUUUUUCAUUAUCUCUUAGAAGCCUUUUUUUUUUAAUGAGAGACAGAAAGGG